rnacentral:rRNA from 1 species
UACGGAGGGGGCUAGCGUUGUUCGGAAUUACUGGGCGUAAAGCGCACGUAGGCGGUCUUUUAAGUCAGAGGUGAAAGCCCGGGGCUCAACUCCGGAAUUGCCUUUGAAACUGGAAGACUUGAACACGGGAGAGGUGAGUGGAAUUCCGAGUGUAGGUGAAAUUCGUAGAUAUUCGGAGGAACACCAGUGGCGAAGGCGGCUCACUGGACCGUUGUUGACGCUGAGGUGCGAAAGCGUGGGGAGCAAACAGG